UGGCUCAGUGGUAGAGUGCUUGCCUUUCAUGCAUGAGGCCCUGAGUUCAAUUCCUCAG
rnacentral:tRNA from 1 species